rnacentral:rRNA from 1 species
UACGGAGGGUGCAAGCGUUAUCCGGAUUUAUUGGGUUUAAAGGGUCCGUAGGCGGAUCCGUAAGUCAGUGGUGAAAUCUCACAGCUUAACUGUGAAACUGCCAUUGAUACUGCAGGUCUUGAGUGUUAUUGAAGUAGCUGGAAUAAGUAGUGUAGCGGUGAAAUGCAUAGAUAUUACUUAGAACACCAAUUGCGAAGGCAGGUUACUAAGCAACAACUGACGCUGAUGGACGAAAGCGUGGGGAGCGAACAGG